GCCGCUUUGACAGCGACCGGUUGACAGAGCAGCUGACUCUUGAUCAGCGGGUCGUAGGUUCGAGGCUACUCAGCGAGCG
rnacentral:tRNA from 1 species